GAAGAACUAGACAUUAUGACUCAAAAGACCUCAACUCCAAGACCAUCCUCUGAUGAAAACGAACGAGACAAUCUGACUAAGGACUUCAAUGCUGAUACCAAAAAAAGAACUGAGAAAACUGGUUUCUGCUGGGGGAAAUAGGAAGAGGAAGAGGUGCCAGGUCUGCAGGCCAUCUGAUGAUGUCAAGACAAGCAUGACCUGUGUGAUGACAUGUCACUCAUUAUUAUUGUUGUUAUUAUUAUUUUCCAUUUUCUACCGCUUAUCUGAGGUCGGGUCACGGGGGC